CUUAGAAAGAUUCCCUUGCUCUUGAAAAGGAACGCAGGGAAAGGAUUUUCUGUCUUGCAAUGUUUGGAUGUAAUUGUGUGAGCUCAUGAUGCCUGAUGGUGCCGCAGUCGUCUUAUGACCAUGAGGGGACAAACGUGAGGACAAAAAGCUAACACUCUGAGUGUGACAGAGCCGAAAGAUGAAAAGAACCUGGGUUCUUGAUGGGACGUUGAGCCCCUGAACUAACCAGCCUUGAAACUUCUCUGCCUCUUGUUUUCUCAUUAUGUGAGAUUAAAAACCCCCUGAUUGUUGGGGACAUUUUGAGUUAGGUGUUCUAUUGCUUCCUGCCACAAGUGUUCUAAUAUUAGAGCCUUACGUAGGGGCGCCUGGCUGGCUCGGUUGGUAGAGCAUUAGAGCAUGUAACUCUUUUUAUUAUUAUUUUACUUUUUUGAGGGGGGGCGCAAGUGAGCAAGGGGCAGAGAGAGGGGGGGAGAGAGAAUCCCACGAGGGGUGGAAGAGAGAGAGAGAGAAGUGGAACUCACCCAAAGCAGGGCUCAAGCUCACCUGAAGAGGGGCUUGUGCUCCCCGAGGUGGGACUCGAACUCAUGAACUGUGAGAUCAUGACCUGAGCCAAAGUCGGACGCUUAACCGACUGAGCCACCCUGGCGCCCUCUAACUUCUUGAUAGUGAGGUAUUAGACUGUGAUUUUUUUCUAAGUUGGACCCUCUUCAUUCUAAUAAUUGUUGAUUGUCCAUGACGGUUUAGCUGUCAUGGGGGUCUGGGGCCGACGGCCAAGAAAGAAUUCUUGAGACACCUUCAGUGCAAAAGGGUGAUUCUAUUCAAGCAUGAGGGCAGGAUCUGUGGGCAGGAAGAGCUGUCUGAGCAUGUAACUAUUGAAAUAAUAAAAAUAUUAAGAUCCUUUUAAUUAUGUAUAUCCCUGCCAGUGCAAACAUAACCCUGGGAGAGCAAAGAGAUUCUAUGCCCCCUUCCUUUCCUCAGCAUGUGGCCUUCCUCUGCUUGCAGCUCCUGGUCAACCAGACUGAUCUGCUUCUUCCUUUCCGUCUCUUCCGGGAGUCUUGGCUGAACUUAAACCAUAAAUCGAAGGCACACAGAGAACAUCAGCAGGUUCGGAAAAUAUACCUUCUCUCCUUUUACGUGCAACCGGAAUGGAGCCACAGCCUGAUUUGCUGGUGGUGUUGAGGAGCAAGGAGGCUCACUCCGGAAGAAUCACCUCCCCCAGGAAGCCCAGCCAGAGGAUUCUGAUCCCAGGGCGGUUCCAAAACUUCCCCAGCCUAAGGAGCUUGGAGCAUGACGCCUGGGACAAGAACCAAACCAGAGUCUGAGGGCUCCAAGGUAUAAAUAGGGAUCACUCCACUGGUUGUUCCCCUGCAUGGAGGCCCUUGCGUCCUCGAGAGGAAAAAGCCUGUGAGAUUGUUUCACCUUUUCUGACCUCCUUGGUUUCCCCUACUCUUUCUCCCUUCUCUACCUCAGCCUUCCUCUUCUCUCUCCACUUCCAUUUCUCCCUUCCCUCUCUCCCCCCCUUUCCCCAUCUCCAUUUGCUCAGUCACCUCCCUUCCCUCAAGCCAGGUGUCUGCAGACAGAAUUCACCUAGGGAGGGACAAAACUUCUUUUUCUUCCUCUCUUCCUCCUCCUCCUCCUCCUUCUUCUUCCUCUUCUUUCUUCUUCCUCUUCCUCCCCCUCCUCCUUUUUUUUUUUUUUUUUUUACGUGCAAAUAAUAUUUUAUUUCUUCCUCUGGUUGCUAGUAACAUCGUUGCACAUUUUUUUGUGAAAACUCAUCUUGCCCCACUAUGAGAACUUGUAACAGACACAGGCAAUGGCCCUCGCUGGCUGCGAGCCCCACAGGCUCCCGAUCCAGGAGCUCGGACCGGCUGGGCCCAGCUGUCAGAUGAGAGCCUGUGUGGCCUGCAGGCAGAGGGCAGGCAGGGCAGUUUGUCGGGUAUCAGACUCUUUGAACUUGACUGUUCAGCUGUCACUAGGCCUCUCCACGCAGAAGGUAGGGGGAGAUGGAUGGCAGAGUGUCACGAUCCGAUCGCACAAAAGAGCCUCCUGGUGACUGGCCUGAUGGGCAGGAGCCCCUUCCUGUCUCAUUUCAGGCGCGUGCAUGUGCUCCAGCUUGUGCCUGGUUAGAGAGGGGGUAACCAGGGCUCCUCUAGCGGGGGCUGGGAGCUGGGGUCCUACCUCCUCGUUCCCAUGGAAUUGUGAGGACCACUCAGCAUCUUCUUGAGGAAAGUGGGGGAGGAGUGCCUACACGUCCCAGAGUUUUCCACCGGCUCUAAGCUUCUGCAGGCCAGACAGAAGGGCUCACAGAGUCUGCCAGGUGGGCCAGCAUAAAGUCUACACCUCCUUUCGGGUAAUCGAAGUCACCAGAGAGUUGGGGAAGGAAGUCACUGCCCUCCUUGGACCACCUGACUGCGGUCUCCUCUGAAAAUGCAUCCUUCGACCACAGAUGAGAUCGCGUGUAUGUUCCAGCCCCGGCUCCAUCCUGACACACGGGCCCCGGCUUUCCCCACGCUUCCCCUCUCUGUACAGGCACUGCUGUUCCUUCUCCUCCAGAGAAUCUUGGCACAUCACCCGAUCAAGGAGCAGCGUCAAGCUUCUGGGGAGCAGGGCUCUGAAAGCCACAAGGAUGUUUAAUACAUGCUUCCUUUAUUCCCCGAGUCCCCUACUCAACAGCAUGUAUGCUUGGAAAAAAUGUCAGGUAUCACUUAAUCCAACCCUUUUCUUUAACCAAUGUGGAAGGCAAGUCCCAGUGACUGGCCUAGGCCUGGGACCAGGUGUCUUGGUUUGUGGUUAGGUCAUCUUUCCAUGCAACACGAGCCAUCUGUUUUGGGUUUUUUUAAAUGUUUAUUUAUUUUUGAGAGAGAGAGAGCACAUGCGCACGAGUGGAAGAGGGGCAGAGAGAGAGGAAGACACAGAAUCCGAAGCAGGCUCCAGGCUCUGAGCUGUCAGCACAGCGCCCAAUCCGGAGCUUGAACUCAUGAACUGUGAGAAUGUGACCUGAGCUGAAGUCGGAGGCUUAACCGAUGGAGCCACCCAGGCGCCUCCAACAAGAGCCAUCUUAAGUGUAAACCCCUCUGCCUAGCUUUCCUGCCCUCCAUAAACCAGCCCUACCUACUCAGGAUGCCCACAGCUGUACCACAAACCUCUUCGGCCCUAGUCAGGCUGUCCUUACUGGGUCUCUGUUGUUCUCCGUCAUGUUCCCCGGAGUUUACCCAUCCAAAUCCCAGCCAUCCCUCAAGGCCUUAGGAUCAACUCAGCACAGAAUGUUCUUAAUGAUCAUGCUGUUGGACCAGAGCAGGAGACUUGUUCAAGACUACAGAGCUCAUUAUCAGCUGGCCCAGGAAGAACCCCUGCCUUGACCUCCUGCAUCCUUUCAUGUGGGGUGGCCCUGUCUCCUCCUCAGGGACCUACUGACCGGUGAAUGGCCUAUCAAUUGUAAACUGACUCUGAAAGGCAUUGAACCCAUGGGGGAACUGCUGGGAAAUGAGAACAAUCUCCCACUGUACUGGGUUGAAUGGUAGCUUGCCAAAAAGAUGUCGACGUGUCAGAACCCGUGAUGGUGACCUUAUUUGGAAGAAGGGUCUUUGCAAGAUGUAGUUAAGGAUCUCGAUAUUAUCCUGGAUUAGCCAGGUCAUCCAGUUUAAUGGCAAGACAGAAAAGAGAAGACAGACACCGAGAAGAAGGCCAUGUGAAGACAGAGGCAGAGAUUAGAGACGCCGCCACGAGCCAGGAAACACCAGGAGCCGCCAGGAGCUGGAAGAGGCAAGGAAGGAUUCUCCCCUACCGCCUUUGGAGGAACAGCCCUCCCAACAUCUUGGUUUUGGACUUCCAGCCUCCAGAACUGUGAGAAUGAAUUUUUGUUGUUUGAAGCCCCCAAGUUAUGGUAAUCUUUUAUGACCUUCCUAUUUUCCUAGGAAAUUCAUAUGCUCCCCCCCUUUAAAAAAAUGACACUGACUUUUUUAAAAGUCUAGGAAUUGUUGUAUUAUCGAAUGUCCCAAUUCUGAAAUUGUCUUCAGAUUGACCUUUUAAAGUCAUAAAUCAGAUCAAGUCAUUCCCUUGCUUAAAACCCUCCAACGGCUUUUCAUUGCAUUAAAAUAAAAUAAGCUAUAAACUCUUUA